GUUGCUUCUAUAGUUCUAUUAUAGUGAGUUCCCCGUUUUAAGGUUGGGGCAUUCACUCUUGGAAGCAUAUAGUUGUGAAAUUGCCAGUUUUAAACAGCAUCAUGUUUAUUUCUCUGCAUUGUGUUACCUGUCUGCUGGUAAAUCC
rfam:Glycine max cultivar Williams 82 chromosome 13, whole genome shotgun sequence.